rnacentral:rRNA from 1 species
AGAUUGAACGCUGGCGGCAUGCCUUACACAUGCAAGUCGAACGGCAGCACGGGGGCAACCCUGGUGGCGAGUGGCGAACGGGUGAGUAAUGCAUCGGAACGUGCCCAGUAGUGGGGGAUAACUAGUCGAAAGAUUAGCUAAUACCGCAUACGACCUAUGGGUGAAGCGGGGGCUUCGCAAGAACCCCGCGCUAUCGGAGCGGCCGAUGUCUGAUUAGCUAGUUGGCGGGUAAAAGCCCACCAAGGCUUCGAUCAGUAGCUGGUCUGGAGACGGACGACCACGCCACACUGGGACUGAGACACCGGCCCAGACUCGUACGGG